UAGGGAAUCUUCCGCAAUGGGCGAAAGCCUGACGGAGCAACGCCGCGUGAGUGAUGAAGGUCUUCGGAUCGUAAAACUCUGUUAUUAGGGAAGAACAAAUGUGUAAGUAACUAUGCACAUCUUGACGGUACCUAAUCAGAAAGCCACGGCUAACUACGUGCCAGCAGCCGCGGUAAUACGUAGGUGGCAAGCGUUAUCCGGAAUUAUUGGGCGUAAAGCGCGCGUAGGCGGUUUUUUAAGUCUGAUGUGAAAGCCCACGGCUCAACCGUGGAGGGUCAUUGGAAACUGGAAAACUUGAGUGCAGAAGAGGAAAGUGGAAUUCCAUGUGUAGCGGUGAAAUGCGCAGAGAUAUGGAGGAACACCAGUGGCGAAGGCGACUUUCUGGUCUGUAACUGACGCUGAGGCUCGAAAGCGUGGGUAGCAAACAGG
rnacentral:rRNA from 1 species